GAUGAACGCUGGCGGCGUGCCUAAUACAUGCAAGUCGAGCGAACGGACGAGAAGCUUGCUUUUCUGAUGUUAGCGGCGGACGGGUGAGUAACACGUGGAUAACCUACCUAUAAGACUGGGAUAACUUCGGGAAACCGGAGCUAAUACCGGAUAAUAUUUUGAACCGCAUGGUUCAAAAGUGAAAGACGGUCUUGCUGUCACUUAUAGAUGGAUCCGCGCUGCAUUAGCUAGUUGGUAAGGUAACGGCUUACCAAGGCAACGAUGCAUAGCCGACGGGAGAGGGUGAUAGGCCACACUGGAACUGAGACACGGUCCAGACUCCUACGGGAGGCAGCAGUAGGGAAUCUUCCGCAAUGGGCGAAAGCCUGACGGAGCAACGCCGCGUGAGUGAUGAAGGUCUUCGGAUCGUAAAACUCUGUUAUUAGGGAAGAACAUAUGUGUAAGUAACUGUGCACAUCUUGACGGUACCUAAUCAGAAAGCCACGGCUAACUACGUG
rnacentral:rRNA from 1 species